rnacentral:rRNA from 1 species
AACGAACGCUGGCGGCAUGCUUAACACAUGCAAGUCGAACGAGACCUUCGGGUCUAGUGGCGUACGGGUGCGUAACGCGUGGGAACCUGCCCUUAGGCUCGGAAUCACUCCCCGAAAGGGGUGCUAAAACCGGUUAAUGUCCUCGGACCAAAGAUUUAUCGCCUUUGGAUGGGCCCGCGUUGGAUUAGCUAGUUGGUAGGGUAAAAGCCUACCAAGGCGAUGAUCCAUAGCUGGUCUGAGAGGAUGAUCAGCCACACUGGGACUGAGACACGGCCCAGACUCCUGCGGGAAGCAGCGGUGGGGAAUAUAGGAGAGUGGGCGAAAGCCUGAUCCAGCAAUGCCGCGUGGGUGAUGAAGGCCUUAGGGUUGUAAAGCUCUUUUACCCGGGAGGAUAAUGACAGUACCGGGAGAAUAAGCGCCGGCUAACUCCGUG